rnacentral:misc_RNA from 1 species
GAUGAAGAACGUAACGAAAUGCGAUACGUAAUGUGAAUUGCAAAUUCAGUGAAUCAUCGAGUCUUUGAACGCACAUUGCGCCCCCUGGUAUUCCGGGGGGCAUGCCUGUCCGAGCGUCAUUGCUGCCCUCAAGCACGGCUUGUGUGUUGGGCCCCGUCCUCCGAUCCCGGGGGACGGGCCCGAAAGGCAGCGGCGGCACCGCGUCCGGUCCUCGAGCGUAUGGGGCUUUGUCACCCGCUCUGUAGGCCCGGCCGGCGCUUGCCGAUCAACCCAAAUUUUUAUCCAGGUUGACCUCGGAUCAGGUAGGGAUACCCGCUGAACUUAAGCAUAUCAAUAAGCGGAGGA